GACCAAAAAAAACAUACGCCACCAUCCGUCUCUCGAUCCACCCGAUGCGGCCGCCCUAUCUCCCUCGUCUAGCGAUGCAGCGCCGCCCCAAUCUCCCUGCUCCGCUGCCGCCGCCCCAAUCUUCCCGCUCCGCCGCCACCGCCCCAAUCUCCCCACUCCACCGUUGUCGCCCCCCACCUUCCACUAUCACCCGCUCAGCCACCUCCACCCUCCUCUACAUCGCCCGAGGAACGGGCUCACCUGGCGCGCCGCCUCGAGGCCGCGCUCGAGCAGGUGAGGAGGGAGUCGGUGCGGCAGGGCGCGGCGCUGGACGAGCUGAGGCGGCGGCUCGAGGGACGGCGGGCGCGCGCGGACGAGCUCCUCGUCACCAGGCGGAGGGCCGCCGAGGGCGUCGAGCGCUGCAAGGAGCAGAUGCAGGCGCAGAUCGAGCGGGUGCUGCCACUCUCCAGGGCCCUCGCCGCCGCACACCGGCAAGUGCAGGUACCUGCUUGCCCGCCCAUUUCUUCCUCUCAGCGCGAGACUGGAAUGCUUUGGCUAUUGUGGUUGCGUGCGUUUGGUCCAAUAGCAUCUGUGUAUGUGUUGCGCUGUGUGCGUGUGUGCUCUGCAUAUGGAGUGGAUCUAGCAGUGGCCGCGUCCUGCAUCGAAGAUGCGGCUAGGAAUUAGAGAGAUGGGAGAGAGGAGGAAGGGACCGGGGAUGGGCCCAGCGAUGCGGCGACGCUUGCGGAGGCUGGCUGGCGGCUGAGUCACACGGCAACGGCGACGUGCGUGUGGCAUCCUCCCUGGUGGGGCGAGUAGGAAGGAGGAGGUGCACGGGAGGCGUAGGCGCUGUGGCCUAUCUACAGAGGUGGACUACAGUAAUAGGGGAACUGGAACAAGCGCCGGAAGCGGCCAUGAACAUAGAUGCACAGUUCUGCGAGGAAGAAACCAGGGUGUACAGAGGAAGGGAGAUCUCACCCAGGUCUCCGAGCUAUUGACUGGGAAGAUGAACCCCGGGCAGCCAGGCUGGACUAGUUUAAAAGUAACCCGUAAAACUUACUGAUUUUAAUUCACUUGGUACACGUCAUCAGUGAUUCAGUACGUGAUAUCUGUAUUGAGUGUACUAGCAGUCUACAGAUAGAUUUGCGUCUGUAUGCUGAGCUUUUUCUGAGGAUAAUGAUUUUUUGAUUGAAUCCAAUAUAAGGUAACUAAUAGAAAUACAAUAGUACUACUAAUGACAGUCUCACUGUUGGGAAGUUUUUUGAUGGAUAUUUAGUCGAGGCAGCUAUUUCUACCAUGGAAUAAUUGCAAUUUAGCUAUGUGACGCCGAUGAAUUAUAUAAAGUUUAUAAAUGCAUGUAUGUCGAUUUAAUUUAACGGACAUGGUCUUUUAUGUUGAUUUCAGUUGAGCAGUAGGAAACAUUUGUGCAGAGUAAGGAUUGCAUCAGCGGCACCAUGCCCUUCUCGGGCGAAAACUCUUGAUAAAGCGAUAAGGGGAUUCGCUGACUAUCCAAUACAUAAUGUGAUUGUACCGGUGCUGGGGACAAGUUUUGACUCUUUAUGAGAGAGACGUGUGGUUUUUACAACCUAUUCUCUUGGGAGAAAGGUUUUGGGAUCAGAUAUUGGAAAAGCAGGUCAAUUGUUGAGAGGACAAAAUUUAAUUAUGAAAUAGUGUGUCGAUAUGUAGUGAGUUUUAUUUCAUUGCGACAUAUUUUAGUUUUUGGACAGUGUGGGGGGGUGUGUGAGUUGAGCACUGAGAAGCAUUUUUUCCCAUGUUGACAACGUGCAGGGUGAAGCAGGUGUGUAGAACACACGAUCUUGCCGAUGUGAGUACCCUGCUCUAAUAAAUUGCUUAGAUCAGAGCACAGGGGUUAAGAAGUACAUGAGACUGCGGUUUGAUAGUGAGUCUGAGGAGAACUAUGUCGAGGAGAUGACAAGAAUUGGAAGACCACUAAUGAGAGCUAACCUGGCCACUUGAAUGGGAUGCGAUCAAGACAUACACAAGGGCUAUGUUUGACGAAAAUUGGCUCUUGUAUGAGUGUGGAGCAUACCAAAGUUGAAGAGAUUGAGAAACACAAGUCGUGUCCUGAAGGUGCUCGACUUCAUACAUGUGAAGCAAGUCCGUAUGAAGAAUAUAAUGAAGAGGUGGACAAAGGAUGCUCACAACAUAGGAACCAUUGGCAUAUAAUCCCUUCUCCUACAUGCACUUCAGAAUGUGCAUAGAGCUUGUUCAGCUUGGGGACGCAAAUUUUCAUAUGUACGAUUGUCUGGUUUAUUUGUUGAAGGCAAAUUUGGUGGACAUGAAACCUUUUGCCAAGGUGAGAGAUGGGCUUGGUUUGGAAGACCGGCUUGCUGAAAAUGGAGUAGUUGUCAAGCUGUUGAGAAUAAUACAUAGUAUGUGUAGAUCGCAAAACUCAAGAGCAUCCGGCAAAUUCUGGUAGUGGUGACAAUGUUUCAGUAAUAUACCAGACAACAGGUUAGCAUAACCAUCAGCGCCAGGCUGCCAGCUACAAGGAAAUAGAUUGAUUGGCCAUUGACCAGCAGGGAGAAAGCCCCUUAGGAAGCUUUCAGUAAGAGGACAGUUUUCUACAGCAUUUGCUGCCGCCAUGGUCACAAAAGGACUACAUGGACAGACAGAGGUGAUGCUCCAAAACAUCUUGCAAACCAGGCAGGUGCAAUAGCUAUGGCGUCGAGGGACACAAAAGGAAUUUUUUUACCAAGCCCAUAGAAUUUAGAUUGUCAGCGGAAACUAAAAUGAGUGCAAAUUAUGAGACCCUUUUUUGGUUAGUAGUUAGUGUUACUUUAUCAAUACUCAAGUCAAGAUUCUUUCUGAUGGUGACCAUGGGAUCGAGAGAACUCUUUAGGUGACGGAGAAGUUUGAUAUGAGCCUCUAAGGUUGACGAUUCUAAUGUUAUUGGAUUUCUGCUUCCAACUGAAAUAAUUCCUUUAUAUCUGAGUACUAUUACUAUGGAGAUUGGCUGUGAACUUACCAUAAUAGUAUGAACUCCUUCUCUGAAUUUAAUUCUUCUAUGAUGCUUUCCAAAGCCGAUGAUGACCAUGCUGUGGACCCACAUGGUGGAGGAAGGGGAUGCCCGAGACUGAGACGAUGACGGUGCUCGCGACGCACAGCUGCGGGACUGGACAACAGAGCCAAACACUCCCUUGGAUUUGUCGUGAUUCUAGAACAGGAGGCAGGUCGUUGCAGGUCGUUGCCGCUACCGCCCAUGAAGUUGACGAUGAUCACGUGGCUGUCGUGCGGCGGCGAGGUGGUGGUUGUGGAGGGGAAGAGGGAGGCGAGGGGAGACGCGCGGGCGAAAACUCGCACGGCGGAGGAAGGGGAUGCCUCAGGUGGUGACGGUCAUGACGGGCACUAGAUUGUCAUAUGUUAUUUGCAUAUAAAUGAUACAGGGGACCCUGGUGAGUUGUUUAGAUUUCUCUGGUGAGUUGUUUAGAUUUCUCCCCGCUCAUGUCUGAAUGGUCGGUUUAGUUCCUGAAUUGUAGCUUCCCAGGUAUGUUGGGCAAUUCACAGUUGUACACGUUUGAUAGUGUAUUGAUGCCCUGACAACUAUGUAACGAGUGCAUGUUGUUCAAGUGCUGAUCUUCACUGAUUUUUUUCUGUUACCAUUUGUCAUGUAGGAAUUCUUCAUUUUGUAAUUUGGAGUAGUGAACGAAAUUUCUAGGGAAUCACAUGCACUAUUUUUGUAGCUUGAAUAAUUCGCUAUGUUCUAAUUUGAAAAUAUGUUGGCCAAUCGUUUGAUAUGCUGUCUGUUGCAUAUUGUUCGAAGAUGGGUUGCAUCUCUUUCUAAACUGCAAACAAGUGAAGGGCAAUGGUAUGCCUUGCUGCUGGAGGAAAUCCGGAACAAGCUAACACAGUGGUGGCGCCAGGUGUCUUCCAUGGACUUCCAUGGGAUACCAAAGAAUUGCUAAUCCAUUGAGUGUAAUUCAGCGGAUGACAUCAUGAGAAAAAUUCUGAGGUUGUGGAGAAGGAUAAGUUGCUCACUAUUUGCUCAAUUGUGGUGCUCGUGGCAUGAACGUAACAAGGUGAACCAUGGAGAACGACGGUGCAAGAAUUUCAGGUCAAUGUCAGGCGACAUGUGGAUGAGUGGCUUGAGUUCCUGAAACCCAAAGAAGCUGCUGCUACUACUACAUAUGUAGAAGUUGGGUGAAACCGUCACAAGAGUUUGUGAAGAUAAACAUUGAUGCGUCCUUUAUUGAGGACACCAGGGCAGGGGGUGUGGGAUUAUAUGCAGGGAUGGCAC